UAUUAGCCCCGAUAGAAACGGUUACCCCGCAAUAGGAUUGGGAAAGCUUGAGGGUUUUGGUGUAGGAGAGUUGGGCGAAUGAGGAGUAUGAGUGGAUAGCGGGAAAUAGC
rnacentral:misc_RNA from 1 species